GUGCUCUCGGGUUGUGUCUGUGACCGUGACUGCGUACCUGUGACUGUGCAGCGCCCGUGGUGAUCUGGGGUAGGGGGCACCCCUACAGUGGGACCCCUCCCCCAUUAUUCUUUCUGUCCAGCCCCUCCCUCCCACUGGAGCAGCUCCAGAGCCAUUCCUCACCCCCGUGACCUCUCCCAGCCAGGGCUGAGAGGAUUCGAGGUGGCUGGGAGGGUUUCCAGGCCCCCUGCCCCUUCCCCACAAACUGGGUGAUAGGGCGGACUUACCUGGCCCAGCCCUGCCUCCCUCAGCCAACCCAGCCCUUGGGCUGUCUGUGUCAGUGGUUUCCGGUCUUUUUUUUUUUUUUUUUUUCUGGCUAAAAUAGUUUGCAAAGGACCAGGUAAUUGGGGAGGGGAGAGAGGUGGGGGCAAGGGGGAAAUGCCCCCCCAUCUCCUUGGAGGCAGUGGUGUGAAUCUUCUUCAACAGCAAUUAAAGAGGAAGUGAUUUUGUCUAGGGGGUGAGCUGCUGGUCUGUUCUUGGAGGCAGGUCAGGGCAUGGCCUUGGUCAAGAUGGGGUACUGGGGUUGGACAGGGACAGGCAGAGGUGCCUCCCACUGGGGCUGGUGGCAGGACAGUACCCAUGGGCAUGGAGGUGGUUCCAUCAUGUACAACAGUUCUGGGUUCAUGUAGUGGAGGACGUGGGCAGGUUGGAGUCAGUGGGGACCCUGGGAACAGAGAAGGCACUGACUCUUAAGAUGAUGCCAGUCCUGGGAGAGUUGGGAUAUGGUACUUAGAGGAGAGGACAGGCCCAUGGAGAGGGGUGGGAAGAUGGGACAGCUUUGUUUAAGAGCAGGAACUUUGGAGACAGAUCUGAUUUUGAAACCUGCCCCUCCACUGCACAGCUAGGGGACCUUGGUGGCAUCUGUUUAUCUGUAUUCUGAACAGUAUCUGUUCAGAGGGCACCUGAAAGGCGCUCCAGCUCUGAGGAGGGCUGCCCCGAGCCAGCCUGCUCACCGUGAGCACUAGGUACCAGAGUAGAACAUAGAGUAGGGGUUCCUCCCCUGGCCUCGUCAGGGGGUGUUCCAGAGGGAAGGGGUGGGAGACCUCCUGGGAAAGAUUUCCCAGCUAGCUGCAGAGGUCCCUGGUGUCCACAAACUCAGUGUCAGCUGAUGCAGGCAUUUAUCCACCUCCGUGCCAUCAAAGGGACCACCAAGGCCACAGCGGCCUGAAGCCGGUGCUGCCUCCAUGAGCUGCAGUGCCACUAGGCUCAGCACAUAGCCAAUCCUACCAUUUCUCGAGGGCAGCUGAAAGUGUUUACUCAGGUAGAGGGGCUGGACAGGGUAGGGUUGGGUCAGCAGCCAGUGCAGGUUGGGCACAGCCAUAUGUUGUUAUCUACCUUGAGGAGUUAGUUGGUAGCACCAGCAUCUUUGGGUAGAAUUGCUUCUGACCCUUGGUGCCCACCAGCCCCAAGAGGUUCAGCUGCAAGUGUGCCACUGAACUGAGGACACAGCACCAGACCUGAAUCCAGUUCACAUGGAGGCUGCGGCUCUACAGGGUCCUAGGCUGUGACCACCCAGCACAGCGGCGUGACCCAGGAAAGGUGGAUUCAACAGUGCAGGUGCAGUGACAAGUACAGAGGCAGCUCCACUCCUUCCUCGUGGCCAAAGUUUGCUCCCUUCUUCAGAAGUUUGGGAGUGUGAGAGAAUAUGGGAAGGAAAUAAGGACCCUGGAGAGAAUGAAAUUGCCUUCAAAGAGCAAGUGGGAAGUUCCUUUCAUUUCCAGCCAGUGAAAAAUGGUCAAGGUGUCAGCAAACCUCACAACAAAUCCCAACACCAAGUAA
rnacentral:lncRNA from 10 species